CAGUCGCCACGGUAAUACGGAGGGUGCAAGCGUUAUCCGGAUUUAUUGGGUUUAAAGGGUCCGUAGGCGGAUCUGUAAGUCAGUGGUGAAAUCUCACAGCUUAACUGUGAAACUGCCAUUGAUACUGCAGGUCUUGAGUAAAUUUGAAGUGGCUGGAAUAAGUAGUGUAGCGGUGAAAUGCAUAGAUAUUACUUAGAACACCAAUUGCGAAGGCAGGUCACUAAGAUUUAACUGACGCUGAUGGACGAAAGCGUGGGGAGCGAACAGGAUUAGAUACCCGUGUAGUCCCUGUCUCUUAUAC
rnacentral:rRNA from 1 species